GGCGGAGAGAGUGGCGCGGAGGACGACGGAAGAAGGGCACCUGGCGCGUUUAUGACGUACGCAGGGAGUGUUUUGUAACAACCAUUGAGUAGUCCUCCGCGUCUCAUAGAAAAAUAUUCCCCUAAUGAGAAAACUGAGAAACGAGUGCAGAGAAUUAAUUCCAAAGUUUUAAAAUUUCCCAUUCGUGUCAUAGUUUGAGUACCCUACCCCUCGGACCCAGGGCAAGCCUUCGGCUGUGACUCAGCACGUAAAAAACCAGAACGCCGGAAGUAUUUUCCUACACCCGCCGGAUGGACGCUACUUCCCAGCGCCGCAAAUACUAACUGGCUCUUUUCUACCCUACAGCCGGCCGUAGGCUGGUGGGGUUUCAUCCUCAAGGCCUAAGAAAGUGCUAAAAAGACCGGUCUGGACGUGCUCACUCUUCUGUGCGAAAACAUUUUUUAGCUCCUCCAGCCUACUGUUAAAUUCGGCCAAUUUUUGAGCAGCUACAGCGUCUGCUGCCCUCAAGUCUCCUUUCGCAGUUUUUCCCGCUAGCAGUGGCCUUUGGUGAGCAAUGUAAAAUGUGACGGAAAUACAAACAUAAAUGAAAGCUAAAAAGCAGCCGAAAUUAAUAAGAUGCACUAUACUGACACCAUGGGGAAAAUGUAUUCUGCAUCAUUGGACAAUCUACUCCACAGAUAACCAGAAAAUUGCAAUACAGCACAGGAAGUUCCAUGGCAAAGGAAAGCAAAAGGGGCUGUGGAUUCCCAGAGGAGGUGCCUAACUGAGCUUGGUGGACAGAGGAGUACAAAGAAUAGCAUAUGCAGAGGCUCUCAUCUAGAGUGUGCCCCCCAAAAUAAACAAAAAAUAAUAAUAAAAUAAAGUGUGCCCUAGUCAUCUUCUCAAA